UACGAAGGGGCUAGCGUUGUUCGGAAUUACUGGGCGUAAAGCGCACGUAGGCGGAUAUUUAAGUCAGGGUGAAAUCCAGAGCUCAACUCUGGAACUGCCUUUGAUACUGGGUAUCUUGGAGUAUGGAAGAGGUUAGUGGAAUUGCGGAGUGUAGAGGUGAAAUUCGUAGAUAUUCGCAGGAACACCAGUGGCGAAGGCGGACUAACUGGUCCAUAA
rnacentral:rRNA from 1 species